rnacentral:rRNA from 1 species
UAGGGAAUCUUCGGCAAUGGACGAAAGUCUGACCGAGCAACGCCGCGUGAGUGAAGAAGGUUUUCGGAUCGUAAAACUCUGUUGUUAGAGAAGAACAAGGACGUUAGUAACUGAACGUCCCCUGACGGUAUCUAACCAGAAAGCCACGGCUAACUACGUGCCAGCAGCCGCGGUAAUACGUAGGUGGCAAGCGUUGUCCGGAUUUAUUGGGCGUAAAGCGAGCGCAGGCGGUUUCUUAAGUCUGAUGUGAAAGCCCCCGGCUCAACCGGGGAGGGUCAUUGGAAACUGGCAGGCUAGAGUCUCGUAGAGGGGGGUAGAAUUCCAGGUGUAGCGGUGAAAUGCGUAGAGAUCUGGAGGAAUACCGGUGGCGAAGGCGGCCCCCUGGACGAAGACUGACGCUCAGGUGCGAAAGCGUGGGGAGCAAACAGG